rnacentral:RNase_P_RNA from 1 species
AUAGCAAGCCGUCUUAUCGCUGCGCUUUUGGGCGGAGAGGAAAGUCCGGGCAACACAGAGCAGCCUACUUCCUAACGGGAAGGGUUCCGGCGUAAUCCGGGAUACAGCUAGUGCCACAGAAAAUAACCGCCUUUUUUAAUUAUGAAUUAUAAAUUCAAAAUUAGAAAUGAAUCAAUUUUUAAUUUAUAAUUUUUAAAUUCUAAUUAAUUUGGGUAAGGGUGAAAAGGUGCGGUAAGAGCGCACCAGUACGCGGGCGACCGUUGUAGCUGGGUAAACCUUAGGCGUUGAAAGACCAAAUAGGCUGGCAGCUCAUUUAUUAGUUGUUACUGUUUUUUCAAUUAUUUCGGUAAUUGGCAAAUGGUACCUGGUAAAUGAUAAGGGCGGCUCGUCCGAUGUCAGUGGGUAGGUUGAUGGAGCCCCACCGCGAGGUCGGGCCUAGAUAAAUGAUAAGACGUUCCGGAGAUUUCUUCGGAGCGACAGAACCCGGCUUACAGGCUUGCUAUAUUU